rnacentral:lncRNA from 1 species
GAGAGUGAUGAGAGGCGGCGAGGAGGGAGGGCGAGACCGGGACGGGGCUGGGGCUGGCAGCGGCCGCAUCAUCGCGGAGCGACGCGAGCAGAGGGGCCGCCGCGGGAGAUUGAAGUGUCUGCGCCGCCGCUGGGGCCGCUGUGAGGCGCGGAGGGGGCGGUGCCGCCGCCGCUGCUGCUGCUGCUGCCGCCACCGCAGCUGUUGCGCGGGGGGAGGAGGAGGAGAAAAAGAGGAGGGGGCCGCCCGUCCCUCCGCUGGCCGGCUGCGCGCCCGGCCAGGGACUCGCCGCCCUGAGCGGGGAGAAGCGGGACCGCGAUCCCGCCGGAGCGGUGCCUGGGAGCUGCUGCCCGGCCCUGCGGAGGAGCCUAGAAGCCGCGGGGUUUAUGGAGCUGGAAGUCCAGGCUGCGGAGUAAAACUUGGCUGUUUCUCCCCGCGAUUCCCACAUGCAAGUUGAUAACGUGAGACCGGCUCCUUUUCUUAUCGCUGCUGCUACCUCGAGUGCCGGGGGCCAGCGCUCUGCCCCCCCCAGCCGCUGCUGUUUCCUUUACCCGGCCCCGGAGCUGCUCGGUGGGUUUCCCUUGCCAUGUGGGGCUAGGAGGGGUGCAGCCAUUCUCCACAGGGUGAAGCGGUAAACAUGGAGGCGGCGUGCAGAGCCGACGGCGGGGAGCAGAGCCAUCAAGGCGGCGGCGUGGACACCCCCGGGGACACUUCUAUGGACUGCUACCUGCGAUCUCAGGGCUUGUACAGAAAGAGAGUUGCCAAGGAUGGAUCUUGUCUUUUCAGGGCUGUGGCCGAGCAGGUGUUACACUCUCAGUCUCGGCAUAUUGAUGUUAGGAUGGCUUGUGUAGACUAUCUUCGGAAAAAUAGGGAGAAAUUUGAAGCAUUCAUAGAGGGGCCAUUUGAAGACUAUUUAAAAUGUUUGGAAAAUCCACAGGUAUGUUAAACUUGAUUUAUAAUAAAAAGCAGUACUUUACUGAAGUUGAUGGAUAAUUGGAUUUUUUUUUUUCUCUCACAAAUGCUUUGACUGAAUUUAAGAGGUUUUUGAAUUAUGUGAAUAUAGGAGUGUACUCUCUAGUGUAAAAUGAUUUGGGGAAAUUGUUUUGUCGGGAUUCAAACCUGUUAUUCCUCAAAUUGUACCCAGACGUUUCUAGCCUCUGCAAAACAUCACGAAACAUAGUGUGGCUAGCUUUUUCUUGAAGACAGCCUUGAAUAAAGUCUGAAAGUUUCCAUGAUGAAAAGAGAGUUACUCAUGUAAGGAGUAUUAUGAACAGUAGCCACAGGCUUUUAUGAAGGUACUUAUUUGAAGCAAAAUUAUUACUCUCCCUCUCCCCACCAAUUUAAUGUUAGUAUUUUUAUUAGGGAGUUAAUUUGUGUAAGCUGAGGGGUUGGGGAAAAAAAAAGGAUUACCUAGUAAAACAUUGCAAAAUCUUUUAAUUUUUGUAAGCACUCGUACAUAAAUUUUAUUAAACGUUACCCUCCUAGAAAUCAAAACAUGACUUCCCUCUGCCCCAUUCCUAUAGCAUCCCGAGUCAGAAUGGCUAACUAGGUGGUUCUCUGUUUCAGUUUUCAAAAUGAAUGGUGGAAGGAGAAAAGAAGUGGGUGUUGGCCUGUUCUCCUUCUGUCUUUGUUCAUUCCGGGAUUUUUAAUUGCAAAGCUUUGUUAGUCAAAUCUAGAGUUAACAUGCUUUGCUAAAUGGUAAACCAUGCUGUUUCCCAGUAGAACUUACUGUGCACUGAACUGUGCUAAUGUGAAUAGUUUACAGCACUGCACUGUCUGUACAGAAAAUGUCUUUUUCGUACAUGUCCACUAAUGUUUAAAAGAAAUCUUUUGGAAAAAUAAACCAGACAGUAGCUUUUUUACGUGGUCAGAGAAGUUAGUAUUAAGUUAGUCUGUAUUUGAAAAUCGUCAUGAGAAUUAAAAAAAAAUUGAAAUGCUACAAAUUCCUGCCCCAAACUUAAUUUCAGUAUUUUUUAAUUUAGUAAGAAUAAAAAAAAGAAGAGAAAGAA